AUGAUUUUUUAUUAUUUGUGAACGUACUACGAUCAAACAAAAAAUAUUAUAGUCAAAAAAAAUUAAAUCA
rnacentral:misc_RNA from 1 species